UGAAGAUGAUAAAUUUGAUGAUGAUGAUUUGUGCGGGAGGUACCAACUACUCUGGUACCUCCCGCACAAAUCAUCAUCUUCAUACCGAUAU
rnacentral:pre_miRNA from 1 species